rnacentral:rRNA from 1 species
UAAUACAGAGGUCCCAAGCGUUGUUCGGAUUCACUGGGCGUAAAGGGUGCGUAGGUGGCGGGGUAAGUUGGAUGUGAAAGCUCCGAGCUUAACUCGGAAAUGGCAUUCAAAACUACCUUGCUAGAGGGUUGGAAGGGGGACUGGAAUUCUCGGUGUAGCAGUGAAAUGCGUAGAUAUCGAGAGGAACACCAGUGGCGAAGGCGAGUCCCUGGACAACUCCUGACACUGAGGCACGAAAGCUAGGGGAGCAAACAGGAUUAGAUACCCUGGUAGUCCUAGCCGUAAACGGUGCACAUUUGCUGUGAGAGGAUUCGACCCCUUUCGUGGCGUAGCAAACGCGUUAAAUGUGCCGCCUGGGGAGUACGGUCGCAAGAUUA